UCUCGGCUUAUCACCGGCAGUCCCCCUAGAGUGCCCAACUGAAUGAUGGCAACUAAGGGCGAGGGUUGCGCUCGUUGCGGGACUUAACCCAACAUCUCACGACACGAGCUGACGACAGCCAUGCAGCACCUGUGUGCAGGUCCCCGAAGGGAAGACCACAUCUCUGUGGCUGUCCACCGUUGUCUAGCCCAGGUAAGGUUCUUCGCGUUGCGUCGAAUUGAACCACAUGCUCCACCGCUUGUGCGGGCCCCCGU
rnacentral:misc_RNA from 1 species